AUACCUCUUAAAGUCUGCCAUAAAAUCCAUUUUUCACUGUACAUUUUUUAAGAUUAUUAUUAUCGAAAAAAAAAAAUUCCCGUUCCCUGUCCCGGAGCAAAACAGAGUGAGAGAUUCACUGCGUCUCUCUCUCUCUCUCUACCAACAAAUGGCUUUCACUUCAUUAGUUCAUUUCUCGGACGAGUUCUCUUUUCCUCUGUUUUCAUACUCCCCGCAUGCAAUACCCUACUUCUUUCUAUCUCUGUUUGCAUUUUUUGCUUGAAUGGAUCUGCUUCUCCUUCUUUUCCUAUACUUGUUUUUUGGAUUUUAUCAGUUCGAUACUAACCCAUGGUUUACUUGUUUGAAUUAUUAAUACUUUUGUCUUAUUUAAUUAAUUAUCUAAAUAAAUGUAGAGAUGUUAAUUUUUAAUUGAUUGAUUAACAACUUAUUUACAUUUUUUAUUGUUUUAAUAGCAAGUUGAAUAAUAAUAAUAAUAAUAAUAAUAAUAGUUUUUAAGUUUGUAUUGGAGUAAUUUUGCUUCCCUAGUUGGAUAAAGCAUAAUCAAGAGUAGGAAAGUUGUAUGAUCUUGGUUUGGUUAGCAAAUGCGUUGAAAAAUAAUAUUAGUGCUGCCGAAAUCGUCUCUAGAAUGGAAUUGAGGCUUUCUAUGGAUGUGAAAAUAGGCCGUGCAUUUCCACUAUCCUCUGAUUUUCUUGAGUGGGUCGACAGAAUUAUGCUUCACUAAUUUUGUUUAGAAAUUGUGUUAGAGCCCACCUGCUUUUUUUUGGAGAUGCCGUAUAAGUUGCGUAUUAACAAGAUUUGUUGAUUUGGUUUAGCACUGAGUUUCUGAUAAGAAUCUUAUCCUUUUCUUUUAUGAUGUGAUGGUUGAGACAUUGAAUUUCAGCUAUGUAUUGUUUGAAAACCAGCAUUAAGCUUUUGAUUCCUUGAAUGUGGCCUUGUAAUCUUUAUUUUGUUUGGAAAUAAUAAUAAUAAUAAUAAUAAUAAUAAUAAUAAUAAUAAUAAUAAGGCAUUUCAUGUUGUUGAACCAGUUUUUAUCUUUUGUUUUUUGUUUGUAUAAUGAUGACCGCCUCAUUUGUUGGUUAAAGUUCUUUGGAUAGUAUUUUGUCAUAAUCUCUUCCUUAAUUUCAGGUUUAAUGAACUUUGGGUUGCCGGGGGCCCAGCAGCGAACGCAUUGAAACCAAAGUUUGGUGUGUUUGCCAGUCGUGAGCAGUCUCAUGCUGGCAUACAAGUACCGGAAAUUGAAAUGAGGAUCUCAGCCAUAGAAAAAUUUGAGAGAGAUUGUAGGCUUAUUAGAAAAAUAAAACCAAAAUUGUGGGAGGUUGAUACUUAUCUUGAACUCAGGUGUGUAGUGAUUGCUUUUUUUCCUCUUUUUUUGUAAUGGCAAUGGGGCAGCUGGCAUCUAGGAUUUCUAGGUGGAAUAUCAUGGGCAUGCUGCUUGGUGACGAAGGGCCUUUCUCACUUUGUCACACAACACACAAUAUGACAAACCCUGGUUAUGAGAACAUGGAAACUUUGCUUGGUAUAACUGUCGGUGUUAUUUUAAGGAAGAUUGAAAUCACAGCUGUAAAGAGUCAGCUGUCAUACUGGAUUCUUAUUUCUUAGCAUGCCUCUUGUGUAUUUCCAUGCACACAUUGCAAACAGGUUUAGUGAUUAGAAGACAGUGACUAAAUGACUUAAAUUAAAUGGUGACCCGUUCAAUUCUUAGGACUGUUUUGCAUUAUUUGAGAGGGUAUCCAUUUUGGCACUCUGGAAAAUCUUUAUAUACUGGACAACUGAUGAAUGGGACUUGUAUGGGCAACAUGUGCAACCGUGAAUAGAUAUACACCAACAAUUAAUGAUUUUGACUCAUAACCAGAAUGUUUCACACUCCCAGUUGUCUUUUUUCACAUAUUGUUCUGUAAUUUUAGCCGGUAUAUGUAUGCGCAGAUCAAACAUUUAUCCACUGCUGCGAUAUUUCUUGAGGGCAUUGGCGGCAUCCUAUUUAUCUUUGGCAGUUCUCUUGGAGCCUACCUACUGUUGGUGCAAGAAAUAGUAUUUGACUUUUGGUCAUCUAAAGGGUAUAGCUAUGAGCAGUGGUGUAUCAUGUACUCAUUUAAUGAAUAUCAAGGUCCUUUCUUGUUGCAGAUUAUACAUCAGUUGAUUGCUUUUCCAAUCCUAUAUGAUUUCUAAAACUAUGACAGCAAGGAGAAAUAAUUUAAUCAACUUUUUAUCAAAUUCACACUGGUUAGAUUCAGCUGAUUCUGUACAAUGUUUCUGUUCUGUAUGAUAGUAACUAUUGUUUUGCUUUCUGCAUGGUUUUGACAAAUUUCUAAAUUCUUUUCCAUUCUUUCAAUGUAUAAUAUUGCUCUUUAUGGAGCACUGCUAUUUUUCAUAGGUAUGAAGAACUCACUUCCCAGGAGACAGCACAAGUAGAAGGUUCCUAAAACUAUAACUGGUUAGGAACAAAUGGCUAUCAGUUGGUAGGUAUCUCAUUUCAGUAAGGAGCUAAUUGGAGUUUUUUUUCUUUUUGGUUCAUGAAACAUUAUGUACUUUACCAAGACCCAACGUAUAUGGUUAAAAGGCUUUUUAUCUAUUUAUUUUUAUUAAAAAAAAACUUGUUUUUUUUCUCCCCUGUAUUUCAUGGGGAUAUAUUAUUUUUCUUCCGUGAUAUUUGGAUUUGUUCUUGUACUGUAUUGAAGAAGGUUAUGGGACCAGUGGAUGUUGAUGAGGCCGAACAUGCAUGUUUUAGAACGUGGCAGUGCUGGUCCCUAUGUGACAUGUUAAUAAUUUCAGCUAUUUAACUUAAGAAAUGGCACAAGAUAUUGUCAAAGCCAUAUGAAUGGGACUUCACUUUCUACGUUUAUGAAUUUCUCCAUCAUUUUAUUUGAAUGUUUAUUUAGUGGCUUCCAAAGGUUUAUUGUUGUGACUUCAUGGUUUGGUUUUAAUCUUUUUGUGAAACUUGAAAGAAUAGCUUGCUCUGUCGAAAAGGUUAGUAGUUUUGAGUCUAAGAAGUUAGUAGUUUUGAGUUUAAGAUGUUUGGCUACAAUCAACCCUCUAAGGUCACAGUUGUUUUUGGAUACAUAUCUGUUGUUAGAUCCUCUGGAAUCCUUUACAGACCGGCAUAUCAUGGUCAGAUCGCUUCAGGAACUUUGGGUGAUUACCACUCGUUGUGGUCUGCAAUUUCUUGGUAUUUGGUUUCGAAAUUCAUUGAUUGUUGUGUCAGUUUGACAAGCAGUGGUCAAUUUGCUAAAAGGAUCUGUACUGUAUUGCUCAUUGGUUGCUGUUAAGAGAUUUUUCCCCUGUUGUCCUGUGGUAGGCAAGUAUACUGACGUUUGUGAGUUUGCCUCUUUGAUAGUGAAGGAGCCUUUUUUUUUGUUUUCAUUUUACCUGUUUUGUUGUUGUCAUUGCCCUUUUAAUUGUUGUUUUUAUUCCGAGCUGGUCCAUCUGGAUCCAUAUAGGUUCUACGGGGAUCUUUUGAUAUUUUGUCCCCUAAACAUAAUGAUCUCCCAGUAACUGAAAGAAGCGAUUUCCUGUUUCUUAUAUAUCUUCUCUCAUGUUUGUCAGCUUGUCGAAAUCUAUACUAAUAAUGCCUUGCAUUUACCAGCUGCUAUUUUCCCCCACUAAUCUGCAUCUGAUGAAUGUCAACUCUUUGUAAUAUAUCACAGCUGAUUUUCACCAAUAUUUUCCAGCAAAUGAAUGCCAUCUUGCAACAAUCAUCUUCGACAUUGCGAAAUAUUUGUGCCUUUUCUGUAUACAUAUCUUGCCAGAGCUCAUCAAAAUCUUGUCUGACUUUUAUUGGGAUUUGCUGCAAUAAUUUAGCAAUAUUAUAAUGGAAAAGGCUUGUUCAGGUAGCUUUUUAUGGCAAGCUGCUUAAUUGACAUGCAAAUCUCUUGUGUAAUCUAACCUGGGAUCUGGAAAAAGAGAUUGAAAACUUGGUUUGUGCGUCACAUGUCAGAUUGGUGCAUCUUAAUACAGGAGCUGCUUACCACUUGUGCCAUUCCAGAGGAAGAGGCGUCUCUCUCAAGCAUUUUGAGGCCAGAAAGUUGAGGGGAAGGACGUGCUCGCUACAGUGUGUUGUGACUUCUCAAGAUCAAAGUUACUUAUUAAUAAUUUGAAGAAAAGACAACUAUUUUUGCCACACUCCUUCCUGUUGCAAGCAAGUGGAAACGCACACGUAAAAAGUAUACAGCAUGCACAAAGCCAGAACACCAUGAAUUACAUGAAAAAUAUCAACCUUUUAUUAACCUCAGUAAAAGAAAUACAACACAAGCCCUCCUCUUGUGCACAUCUUAACCCAAUUUUGGAUGAAAUGUUUUCCUCGACUCGACUCGACAUGAUUUUAUUUUGGACAGUGGAUGAUGAGGUCUUGAAGAUAGGGAUGGUAAGUCAAUGGCUAAGAUGGGUUAGAGACAUGAUUAUUAUUAAAAAAAAUUAUCAGUGAAAACUAAGGUUCUUUGAUCAA